rnacentral:lncRNA from 1 species
CAGGAAAACAUGUGUAAAUAUACAAGAACAUAAAGAGACGAGGGGAAGAGAAAAAUGAUGACUAGUAUGAGGUCUAAUGGGCAAACAGAUUACAAUAAAUUACAGAGCCUUGCAGAGAAUAUAAGCUAUGUAUAAUAAGAGUAGCCAGACAAAAUUGCUUGGGGUCAAAACUCAGAAAUGGAGUCCAUGGUGGUGACGUUUCCUUUGUGGUGGCCUUCCUCGUCUUCUCCAUUUAAAGGGUUCUACCCAAUUCCCAUCCUCCUUCACGGCUUGCUCCCACCGCUCCUUAAAUAUUUUAAGCUCUAAUGUAGAUUGUCUCCUUGUCUGCUCAAUCCAUUUCAGAUUACGAAACAUUAGUCACUACUCUAUUUGGGAGAUCAUAAACAACUUUCGAAUGUUAAUCCAACAAACCUAUUCCUUGCCUACCCUACACACACAGCAUGGUUUAAUUGACAUGGUCAACUUGGAGCAUAGUUCAUGAACCCCCCCAUCCCCCCCCUCCCUACCCCUACCCCUAUUUAUCAUUCUUGUACCCUUAAGAAAAUCAAAUGGGAAUCGAGUAAAUUUCAAAACUAGGGGUCAUAAUAAGUUUUUCGCAAAUGUUGAAUCAAUAUUUGAAAUCAAUGGGACAUUAAGGAAUGAACUCUAUAAACAUGGUAAAUGUCCUAUUCACAUCCCUCGAGAGAAAAGCCAUAAUCCGUUAAAUGGUAUGGUAUUGGUAACGACUACAGCCAUUCCGAGGAAGAUCCUUUAUGAUCAUCCCCAAAGGUCAGGUAAUCCCAAUUAAUUUACUCAAAAGAGAAUGAAGAUUUGAAAUGACAGCUAUUAUCGGUUAAGUUAUCUCACCUCAGCUCGCACAUCAACAUCAUGUCUCUGAAAAUCACAUGCAAACUAUAAGUGAAAAUCAAAAAUGGCCAGAGCAUAGAAAAAUAUUUGAUGAAGAAUAAAGUCAUUAUUGCUCGUAUAAUCAUAUAUCUCCACAAAAAAUGUAAAAAAAUAAAUAUUGAAUGUGAACAAGCGGAGAUUUGAAAAGGGAAGACAAAAGAAUUAGAGAGCAAAAGGAAGUAUACCUUCAACAACUCUUCAGAUUUUGAACCCUGCAUACAGACAAGAAAANNN